ensembl:lncRNA
AAAUCAAAGCUUUAUUGAUUGAGAACAUUGCAUUCAGUGAUGAAAUUGAUUUGCUUCAUCAACAUCUGAAAGACAGUGUGAAAGAAAUCCUGCUGCAUAAUACGAGACCUACUUAUUAGGAUUAUGUUGCCACACACACACAAGUGAGCUGUAGAUACCACAGAAUGGGGUCACAGUUACUCAAUAAGCAGUCCCUGCUUGAGGUCACCAAUAAUAUAGGCAUGAAACACAGAGCCAAAAAAAUCUAAUUAAAUAUUUUAUUCUACUUAUCUGAUGCCACACACAAACACAAACAAAUCAAUAAUGUGCAUUAGAAGGAACAACUUGUGAUAUAGCACAGAAAUAGUACACACAACUCAUAACACAGAAGUGUGUUUUUGUGUAAUUUACAAGACUGAAUUGAGUUAGCAAGAGAUUGAUCUUUAGAGUGAGGAAUGAUACAAAGUCAUACAGACCCACACAAUCACACCCACAAUCACACCCCCCACAUUUAUAUCACACAAGCCAUCCUCAGUUUCUAACUUGCCUCAGAAGAUUCCCUAAAGGAAAUUAGGUCACACCACACACACACACACACACACACACACACACACACACACACACACACACACACACACACACACACACACACACACACACACACACACGUAAUUAUAACAGCGUUCAAGAUUUUUCAAAUGUAAACCAGUGAGUAUUCCUUCAUGCAAGAUGCAUGCACUGCCGACAUUUUAUCUACCUCAAUGUCCCUUGUGAACAAGAACCUCUCCGACCCAGUAAUCCUUACACUACAAGACACGGCUGUUUGUGAUGCACCAUAAGACACGAGCUACAUAAGAAUGGUCCCAAAUGAAAAUACACUUUAGUUAUGGGGAGUGAGAGGACUGAUAAAACCACCCAACAAGGAAAGUGAAAUACGACUAAAUGGCAGCGAUGGGAAUCUCUCCCACACAUCUGCUGCUGAGACGCUGCAUAACAACUCAAUAAAACCGAAACAAAAUGAGUGGUGAAGCAUCGUUCACAAGGUGUAAAGAAAAGCGGGCCUCGCCCAACGAGAACUAGCCUGAAACAAGUCAGCCGCUAUGAGCUGCUGAUAAAGGCGGAAUUAGACGGUCAGUUUCAAAUAUUUACAAUAUUUACCUUUUUCCCAACCUCAGGCCAGACGACUGCAAACAGGAGGACAGCUCUGCCUACAAAUCGACUUUACGUCUUUGUGAAACCGGCAGUCGGGUGUAAAGAUCAUGCUGGCAGAAGACAAUCCAAAGUACAGACAACUGGAUUGACUGACACCCCGAAACACACUGCAGACAGCAGACCUCACAGUCCGGAGCAG